rnacentral:rRNA from 1 species
GUGGGGAAUCUUAGACAAUGGGCGCAAGCCUGAUCUAGCCAUGCCGCGUGAGCGAUGAAGGCCUUAGGGUUGUAAAGCUCUUUCGUGGGGGAAGAUAAUGACUGUACCCCAAGAAGAAGCCCCGGCUAACUCCGUGCCAGCAGCCGCGGUAAUACGGAGGGGGCUAGCGUUGUUCGGAAUUACUGGGCGUAAAGCGCACGUAGGCGGACCGGAAAGUCAGAGGUGAAAUCCCAGGGCUCAACCUUGGAACUGCCUUUGAAACUCCUGGUCUUGAGGUCGAGAGAGGUGAGUGGAAUUCCGAGUGUAGAGGUGAAAUUCGUAGAUAUUCGGAGGAACACCAGUGGCGAAGGCGGCUCACUGGCUCGAUACUGACGCUGAGGUGCGAAAGCGUGGGGAGCAAACAGGAUUAGAUACCCGGGUAGUCC